AGCCAGUUGGUCAAAUGCAGCAAGCCAUGUUAUUUGGAAAUAUAUGUUCACAAAGUAUUGUGGACGUACACUGCUGCUCCGAUCAUGCCGUUGUUGUCACCGAGGCAGGAACCGUCCACUGUUUUCAUCUCAGUGAAGCAUUUGGGAGCCAAAAUAACCAUAUUAGUCGUGCUGCCGCUACGCAAUAAAGCCUCGUCGAAGCUUCGUUGCAAUAUAACAUGCAAAGGGUUUGGCUACUUCCAUGGGACCGGUGCAACCCGUUUAACUGUAACUGUUGUAUAGUGGGAUGAACAGACAAAGGUGUACUGUACGUCUGCCCAGCUCCGUUCAAUCAGCAUUGCUGGAUGCAUCAUAUGGGAGCCAUGUCAAUUGAAGGCCUUGCGGAGGGCGAAAAAUUGCACCGACGACCUACAAGCUUCUUUUCUCAUCCAUACUGAAGAUGGUCGGGUCUUUGGUUUGUUUCCUUCUAGUAAAUUCCCAAAUUCGUCGGCGUCACAUAUUGGCCAGUCGUGUCAUCCCACCUUCCAAAGUCAUUGGCCAAUCCACGUGGCUCCAAUUGCCGAACUAAACUCGUCAUUUCAAGGGAUUUCCACAGAUAGCACCGAGAUUUUUGCUUGGGGUAGCACUUGCAGAAAACCAGUUUCAAUGGCGUAUCUUCCCUAUAGAUUUAAAACUACUAACGAAACUUUUGAGAUGUUGGAGCCAUUAUUGGACCGUGUCUACGUAAAUUUGCAUCCGCUAUACGAUUGGCCACAUGAUGUAGAAUGUAUCGCCAUGGCUUCACCGAACAUACUCAACCUUCAAAUUCAAUGGUUUUUAUUAGUGGACAGCGAGCUAAUAGCGGACAUACGGUUGCUCUUUGGCAGUACUGCAGCGCCUGAAAAAUCAUGUCAUUGGUCUGGCAGGUGGCAAUCCGUAUCUUGGAGCCUUACAGGUGACUGUUCAAGGCGUACUCCAAUUAGCCUGGAGUUUUCUUCUACCUACUGCGUCUGGAAGAGUUUUAGCGUUAGCUACGCUUCUACAGCGAAAUGAUGAAUAUAG